ACGGCCACUGGAUGGCCUUGGCGCCCCCGUCGGUGCUCGAACUCCCGAUGGCGAGGCACUUGCCGGUCGCCUGGUUGCGCACCCGGUAGCCGUUC
rnacentral:tRNA from 1 species